AUUGAACGCUGGCGGCAGGCCUAACACAUGCAAGUCGAACGGUAACAGGAAGAAGCUUGCUUCUUUGCUGACGAGUGGCGGACGGGUGAGUAAUGUCUGGGAAACUGCCUGAUGGAGGGGGAUAACUACUGGAAACGGUAGCUAAUACCGCAUAGCGUCGCAAGACCAAAGAGGGGGACCUUCGGGCCUCUUGCCAUCGGAUGUGCCCAGAUGGGAUUAGCUAGUAGGUGGGGUAACGGCUCACCUCGGCGACGAUCCCUAGCUGGUCUGAGAGGAUGACCAGCCACACUGGAACUGAGACACGGUCCAGACUACUACGGGAGGCAGCAGUCGGGAAUAUUGCACAGUGGGCGCAAGCCUGAUGCAGCCAUGGCGCGUGUAUGAAGAAGACCUUCGGGUUGUAAAGUACUUUCAGCGGGGAGGAAGGGAGUAAAGUUAAUACCUAUGCUCAUUGACGUUACCCGCAGAAGAAGCACCGGCUAACUACGUG
rnacentral:rRNA from 1 species